rnacentral:tRNA from 2 species
GGAGAGGUGGCCGAGCGGCUGAAGGCACAGGUUUGCUAAACCUGCGUAGGGGCAACUCUACCGAGGGUUCGAAUCCCUCCCUCUCCG